AGUUCGUUUUGCGAACUUACUGAAUGGUAAGCUAUCAUCAUUAUUAUUUAUUAUUUAUUUAUUUUUUUUCGAAUCGUUCGCGUCGUCGUCGUUCUCCUUAAUUUGGCUAUCCAUCAAGCGUUAAAACUGAAUUGUGCUAAAUCCGUAAGAAGGUGCCAUUUAUCAGAAGUGCCACAACGGUAGAGGUACCACUACUAGACUAGACUGUAAAACUCGAGCCACAGGGAUGAACAAACAGGUUUUGUCGGACCAGUCUCUCUCUUACCACUGUUGGCGCUGCUGUAGUUGUCUUGUGAGUUUGUGCACACCCACGUCGUGGCGUCUCACACAUGCUCCGGUUAGCAUGGAGAUGACCCUGUCUGUUUCUCUAGUUAACAUCAUCCCUUUAUUGGAGUAAUCUCACUCAGGGCAUCAUGUUUACCUCUUGUUGGUGUCACGCCGACUCCACGAACGGAAAGGUGAGAGAACAGUUUUUUUACCCCUCCGAUAUGUAUUUUUAUUCGUGACAGUACCCCCGAGAGUUUUGACGCUUUAUUAUUAUUUAAAUUAAAUAAAACAAUAUUUAUACUACUGAUGCCAGUAUCUCUGUGGUAUUUUUACCGAUGUCUUUGCGCCCUUCGGACUUUUCUCACCAACACCUGCACGUGGUUUCUGAAAAAAGGUCGACUUCACCUUGACUUAAGCACGUCCAGUCACUAACGGGUGCCUUAUACAAUUAAAGAGGUCACGCUACAUAAAAGAAAUAUUUUUAGGCACACUUGUAAUUCAUUCGAAUGUGGAAUAAAAAAAAAAACAAGAUAGACUUUUUAUUUCUUUCCUGGUUUUCUUUCUUUAGAUAACUGCCGAUUUUUUUUCCUUUUUUUUCUGUUUUUGUCGAGAUUGGUGAUGCGGUCGAGAUGCUCCUAAUCUAUCAUAAGUACUAUUUUUGUAUCUGUAAAACAGGAAGUUUUGAUCGGUAUUUAUUUAUAUAAUCCCAACAAGCAAAAAGUGACGCACGUACACUUUUUAAACGUGUGUACUAAACGGUCGUCGAGCAUGGGAAAACCGACUUGAAACGGUGAUAUUGUUGUGAUUCCAAGCAAACUGACUGUAUUCCUCCCUAGUGUGGGUGGUUAACUCUACAUCCCCAUUUAACAUAAUGGGAAAGGACCGCAGUAUAAGUUGCUGUAACUAAAUUCAUGUGAUACAGCUGGAUUACGACGAUUAAAAAGGUGCGAUCAUCGAAAACGCAGAUUAUAAUCGUCACAAAAAUUUCUAACAAAAAAAAAUUCGAUUUUUGUAAAAGUUGACGAUUUUAUUUUGGAUAUUUGAUAUACGUCAGCCUUUUUUAGAAUCUUAAGUAACGAAAAUUUAUAACGUUUACUUCUAGUAAACACCUGCAAUGAUCUACACCUGCAGGUGAAGUAUCUGGCAUUUUUCCAGAAAUUCACACUUGAUCAAAGACUGGGAUGAAGAUAAACUUUCUUCGAAACAGGUUCGAGCUUACUAAAAGUGUAGUAGACAUUUUUUGAAGGAAUAUCUCUAUAGAGUCGAACCGAAACUGAAGUAAUAAAAAAAGUUUUUUCUAAAAAAAUAUAGAUUGUGUAAUAAGUUAUAAUAAAAAAAAAUAAUAAGGAAAUUGCGAAUCACUGCUUGCGUGAUGCAGAUGCUUUUAUGCGUUUGCGUCAUGUCUGCUUCUCCAUUCAAGUGUUGUUGAUAGGAGAGAAUCGAAAUCGAAUACUGAAACCAUACGUGAAUCGCAUACCUAAACGUGAGAAGAACUGUCCAUUCCGGUUCCGUUCAGAAGCUCCAAUGAAAGUUCUUUUUUUUCCCUGUUGUUUUAUUUUACUCGUUUGUUUUAAAGAGAAGUUUUUGUAGGAGAGUUCACUAGCCUGCUGUGAGGACGGAUGGAAGAAUUCGCACCCGAUGUCUUAUGGCACGUGCUUAUUUCCGGACAUGCGCCGUUUAUCGAGCUUUGACCCUCGUCUUUAGGGUUAAUCACGUGUUUAAUCACAACAUCCAGAAUGUGUGCAUGCUCGAGUUGUUCAACAGCAGUUCAAUUUCGAUCUUUUAACGUUCGAUCGAACGUUUAAGAACGAAUCCAUACUACUCGAAAACCUUAAAGAUAUUCCUAUUAAAAGCGUGUAGCGUGCCGGAUUUGCGUGGUUAUCUCGCAUGAUAUAAGCUCAAUUCAUUCGAAUAUACGAUGGUCGUAUUCUUAGGGACUUUUCUUUUUUUUCUUUUAAGUUAGGAUAUAAAGCUAUAGACGGGGUGAUAUAUGGGAAAGGGAGUAAAGGUCGUAAGGUCGCUCCCACAACCUUUAUUGGGAGUUUGAACGAGAUGCAAGUGGUUCUUAGAUCGCUUGGCUACUUAAAAGGGAUUUGUUAUAACUCCCCCCACAUUUUCCCAGCUUUAUACCGAUUUUCCCGACACUUUGUACAGUCUGGGAGAGUUCACCACUUGUCUGCAUUUAGUCUGAAGUGAUAUUAACAUCGAAAUAUUUCAGAUAUGUCACGCUUAGAAAUUGUAGCAUGCACACAUUUUUUUUACAAUAGUUUAAUUUAGUCGAUCUGCAGGUUUUCGUGAAGUUUUUAAUCAUUUCAGAUAUAAAAAUUAAGGGAGAGAAGAAACAAUUUUUUUGUGAUACGAAUCUGAUCGGUUCUCAGAAUCGGUCAGAAAAAUUAAUGUGUGUAAUUUAACCUUUCCUUUUUAGUUAUUUAAAAAUCCUUUCUCACUGGUCAGAUAAAUGAUAAAUUAAUCCUGCUAAACAUAAAGAUUGUUUUGACUGGCUCACAGGUGAAAGAGCAAUAGAAACUCAACUAACGCACAUUCCUUCAACAGAAUAACAUAAUUUAAAUAAGAAAUCAACCUUAUAUUGUGGAUGAAAUAUAAAAAAAAUAAAUUUAAUUUUUAUAUAAUUAACAUGAAAUAAUUAAAAAAGCGCUAUUUUGCAC
rnacentral:lncRNA from 1 species